CCCUUAGAUGUCCUGGGCCGCACGCGAGCUACACUGAGUGUCUGAGAUACGAGUCUGCCUGGUCCGGCAAGGUCUAGGUAAUCGCUAAAAGACACAUCAUGCUUGGGAUAGAUUAUUGCAAAUAUUAAUCUUGAACGAGGAAUUCCUAGUAAGCGCAAGUCAACAGCUUGCGUUGAUUACGUCCCUGCCCUUUGUACACACCGCCCGUCGCUACUACUGAUUGGAUGUUUAAGCGAGGUUCUCGAACUGCUAGCGACUUAGCUUCGGUGAGGUCGCAGUGUGGGAAGUGAACCUAGCUUUGGUGUCUAGAGGAAGUAAAAGUCGUAACA
rnacentral:rRNA from 1 species